rnacentral:rRNA from 1 species
UACGUAGGGGGCGAGCGUUGUUCGGAAUCACUGGGCGUAAAGGGCGCGUAGGCGGCCCUCUUUGUCGCGUGUGAAAGCCCCCGGCUCAACUGGGGAGGGUCACGCGAUACUGAUCGACUCGAAGGCAGGAGAGGGUAGUGGAAUUCCCGGUGUAGUGGUGAAAUGCGUAGAUAUCGGGAGGAACACCAGUGGCGAAGGCGACUACCUGGCCUGUUCUUGACGCUGAGGCGCGAAAGCUAGGGGAGCAAACGGG